GAUGAACGCUGGCGGCGUGCCUAACACAUGCAAGUCGAACGGAGAUUUAACGCUGAUGAGGCUUCGGCGGAUUCUUGUUAAAUCUUAGUGGCGGACGGGUGAGUAACGCGUGGGCAACCUGCCUCAUACUGGGGGAUAGCAGUUGGAAACGACUGAUAAUACCGCAUAAGCGCACGGAGUCGCAUGACCCUGUGUGAAAAACUCCGGUGGUAUGAGAUGGGCCCGCGUCAGAUUAGCUAGUUGGUAAGGUAACGGCUUACCAAGGCGACGAUCUGUAGCCGGACUGAGAGGUCGGACAGCCACAUUGGGACUGAGACACGGCCCAAACUCC
rnacentral:rRNA from 1 species